rnacentral:lncRNA from 1 species
CAUGAGGCUUUUAUGCCAACAUUUCUCUGGCCUUUUGCUGUAUGGAUGAUGAUGUGGUUACUAUACUUCCAUACUUGUAUUACCCCUUUGUGGGCGCUUGUUUUACCCCUGUGGCUAAUGGUCUUAGAUCUGUCGAUUGAGGUUUUAACUUACCUCCUUCACCUAAGAGCUUUUCCACCGAUGAGCCCAAGCAAGGGUAGGGAGGCCCAAGCUGCAAAAUGCGUUCUAGCGGGCUUUUUUUUUUACCCGGGCUGGCUGUGGGUCCCACGAGAUGGAUAGGGCAGGACCGCAGGUGGAAUGAGCCCGAGCUCGAGCCUGAGAGCUAGCUGACGUCUGUUGAAACCCAAAAAAUCCAUGGUUGGGCCCGAAUAAAUUAUCAGCCCAAAACGACACUCUAUUAAGAAA